GCGCGAAAACUCUACAAUGCAGGCAACUGCGAUAGGGGAACAUCGAGUGAUCCUCAUAUUGGGGGGUCUGUCCACCCGUCUAAAAAACGGGUGUUAGCAAGGGCCGGGCAAGACCGGUGCCAGCCGCCGCGGUAAUACCGGCGGCUCGAGUGGUGGCCGAUAUUAUUGAGUCUAAAGGGUCCGUAGCCGGCUUUGCAAGUCUCUCGGGAAAUCCAGCGGCUUAACCGUUGGUCGUCCGGGGGGUACUACAUUGCUUGGGACUGGGAGAGGUAGGAGGUACUCAGGGGGUAGGAGUGAAAUCCUGUAAUCCUUUGGGGACCACCGGUGGCGAAGGCGUCCUACCAGAACAGGUCCGACGGUGAGGGACGAAAGCUAGGGGCACGAACCGGAUUAGAUACCCGGGUAGUCCUAGCCGUAAACGAUGCUCGCUAGGUGUCACAACAGUCGUGAAUUGUUGUGGUGCCGUAGGGAAGCCGUGAAGCGAGCCACUUGGGAAGUACGACCGCAAAGGUUGAAAACUUAAAGGAAUUGGGCGGGGGAGCACCACGAACGGGUGAGCCUGCGGUUUAAU
rnacentral:rRNA from 1 species